rnacentral:rRNA from 1 species
AUGGGGUCGCGUCCUAUCAGCUUGAUGGCGGGGUAACGGCCCACCAUGGCUUCGACGGGUAGCCGGCCUGAGAGGGCGACCGGCCACAUUGGGACUGAGAUACGGCCCAGACUCCUACGGGAGGCAGCAGUGGGGAAUAUUGCACAAUGGGCGCAAGCCUGAUGCAGCGACGCCGCGUGCGGGAUGACGGCCUUCGGGUUGUAAACCGCUUUUGACUGGGAGCAAGCCCUUCGGGGUGAGUGUACCUUUCGAAUAAGCACCGGCUAACUACGUGCCAGCGGCCGCGGUAAUACGUAGGGUGCAAGCGUUAUCCGGAAUUAUUGGGCGUAAAGGGCUCGUAGGCGGUUCGUCGCGUCCGGUGUGAAAGUCCAUCGCUUAACGGUGGAUCCGCGCCGGGUACGGGCGGG